GCCAAGAUGGACGCGUCCAUUUGAACGUCUCGCCUGAGUGGCUCUCCUGCACGCCUGCCUGUCGUUAGCAGUCGUGUCCGCAGCUGCUACCCAUUCUUCCUCCGGAUUAGGGGAGGGAGAGGGGAUGAGAAGCUGCAGUGGCUAAGGAGUCAUCGUGACUGACCCCGCCGCUACCCUUGGGCCCCCUCGGCCCCCGCGCCUCCGGGGAGUAGCCGGGGCUCGCCGCGCCUGACGCGUCCCGAGUUACACAGAAAUAAUGUUGAUAUUUGGAACCCAUGUCGAACUUCUAUGAAGAAAGGGCAACAAUGAUUGCAGCCAGGGAUUUGCAGGAAUUUGUUCCUUUUGGUCGAGACCACUGCAAGCACCAUCCUAAUGCUUUGAACCUUCAGCUUCGCCAGCUGCAGCCAGCCUCUGAGUUAUGGUCUUCUGAUGGCGCUGCUGGCUUGGUGGGAUCCCUUCAAGAGGUUACAAUCCACGAGAAACAGAAGGAAAGCUGGCAGUUAAGAAAAGGCGUAAGUGAAAUUGGAGAAGAAGUGGAUUACGAUGAGGAGCUCUAUGUGGCUGGAAAUAUGGUUAUCUGGAGCAAAGGAAGUAAAAGCCAGGCAUUGGCUGUUUAUAAAGCGUUUACAGUUGACAGUCCUGUUCAGCAGGCAUUGUGGUGUGACUUCAUUAUAUCACAGGAUAAGUCUGAAAAGGCCUACAGUAGUGAUGAAGUAGAAAAAUGCAUAUGUAUAUUGCAAAGCUCAUGUAUUAACAUGCAUAGCCUAGAAGGAAAGGAUUACAUAGCUUCUUUGCCUUUUCAGGUAGCAAAUGUUUGGCCCACCAAAUAUGGGUUGUUGUUUGAACGAAGUACUUCUUCACAUGAGGUUCCUCCAGGCCCUCCCAGAGAACCUUUACCCACUAUGUUCAGCAUGCUGCAUCCACUAGAUGAAAUAACACCGCUUGUGUGUAAAUCUGGAAGUCUUUUCGGUUCAUCCCGGGUGCAAUAUGUUGUAGAUCAUGCAAUGAAAAUUGUUUUUCUCAACACUGAUCCCUCCAUUGUAAUGACCUAUGACACUGUUCAAGGUUUGCAUUCUUUGUGGGCUCUUCGGAGAGUCAAAACAGAGGAAGAGAAUGUUGUUUUAAAGUUCUCUGAACAGGGGGGAACGCCACAGAACGUAGCCACCAGCAGCUCCCUCACAGCACACCUCAGAAGCCUGUCCAAGGGAGAGUCCCCCAUGGCUUCACCUUUCCAGAACUACUCCUCCAUCCACAGCCAGAGCCGCUCAGCCUCCUCACCCAGCCUACACUCCCGUUCACCUUCUAUUUCCAACAUGGCAGCUCUCAGUCGUGCUCAUUCUCCUGCCUUAGGAGUGCACUCUUUUUCAGGGGUGCAGAGGUUCAACCUUUCAAGCCAUAAUCAAUCUCCAAAGAGACACAGUAUUUCUCAUUCUCCAACUAGUAAUUCUAAUGGCUCCUUUCUCGCACCAGAAACAGAGCCGAUUGUUCCUGAGCUUUGUAUUGACCAUUUGUGGACAGAAACGAUUGCUAAUAUAAGGGAGAAAAAUUCACAGGCCUCCAAAGUCUUUAUUACAUCUGACUUAUGUGGGCAAAAGUUCUUGUGCUUCUUAGUAGAGUCCCAGCUGCAGUUACGAUGUGUAAAGUUUCAAGAGAGUAAUGAUAAAACCCAGCUCAUCUUUGGCUCCAUCACCAACAUACAGGCAAAGGAUGCAGCGCCAGUGGAGAAGAUAGACACUAUGCUGGUCCUGGAAGGCAGUGGAAACCUGGUGCUGUACACGGGAGUGGUUCGGGUGGGAAAGGUGUUUAUUCCUGGGCUGCCAACUCCUUCCCUGACGAUGUCCAGCACGAUGCCUCGGCCCAGCACUCCGCUGGACAGCAUCAGCACCCCUAACCCUCUGAGGAAGCUGCUUGGGUCCCUGGAUGAGGCUGUUCUGUUGUCCCCAGUUCCAGAACUGAGGGAUUCUUCCAAGCUUCAUGAGUCUCUCUGUAAUGAGGAUUGCACUUUCCAGCAGCUUGGAACGUACAUUCAUUCCAUCAGAGACCCUGUCCACAACAGAGUAACUCUAGAACUGAGUAAUGGCUCCAUGGUUAGGAUCACUAUUCCUGAAAUUGCCACCUCUGAAUUGGUGCAAACAUGUUUGCAAGCAAUUAAGUUUAUCCUGCCAAAAGAAAUAGCUGUUCAGAUGCUUGUCAAGUGGUACAGUGUCCACAGCGCUCCGGGAGGACCCAGUUACCACUCAGAGUGGAAUUUAUUUGUGAUUUGUCUCAUGAACAUGAUGGGUUAUAACACAGACCGCUUAGCCUGGACAAGAAAUUUUGACUUUGAAGGAUCACUUUCCCCAGUCAUUGCACCCAAAAAAGCAAGGCCUUCAGAGACGGGAUCUGAUGAUGACUGGGAGUAUUUGUUAAAUUCAGACUACCACCAGGACGUCGAGUCGCAUCUUUUGAAUCGAUCUUUGUGUUUGAGUCCUUUGGGAGUCCCCCAGGUGAAGGACGAGGACUUCUCGCAGAAUCUGACUGUGGAUUCUUCCACACUUCUCUUCGCUCACAUACCUGCAAUUUUUUUUGUUCUUCACCUUAUCUACGAGGAGCUUAAACUGAAUACUCUGAUGGGAGAAGGAAUUCGUUCACUUGUUGAACUUCUCGUUCAGUUGGCAAGGGACUUAAAAUUGGAGCCUUAUGUAGAUCAUUACUAUAGAGAUUAUCCAACGCUUGUCAGAACUACUGGGCAAGUGUGCACAGUUGAUCAAGGUCAAACAGGAUUUAUGCAUCAUCCAUCAUUUCUUACUUCUGAGCCACCGAGUAUUUAUCAGUGGGUGAGCUCUUGUUUGAAGGGCGAAGGAAUGCCACCCUAUCCUUACCUCCCUGGAAUUUGUGAAAGAAGCAGACUUGUAGUCUUGAGUAUCGCCCUCUACAUACUUGGUGAUGAAAGCUCUGUUUCUGAUGAAUCCUCACAGUAUCUAUCCAGAAUAACUAUAACCCCCCAGAAGUCACAAGCAGAACAAGAGGAGAACAGGUUUAGUUUCAGGCAUUCCACACCAGUUUCGAGUCUAGCUGAGAGAUUAGUUGUCUGGAUGACUAGUGUAGGUUUCACUUUAAGAGACUUGGAAACUCUUCCCUUUGGAAUUGCUCUCCCCAUCAGAGAUGCGAUUUAUCACUGCCGGGAGCAGCCUGCUUCAGACUGGCCAGAAGCUGUCUGUCUCUUGAUUGGACGUCAGGAUCUCUCCAAGCAGGCCUGCGAAGGAAACUUGCCCAAAGGGAAAUCUGUGCUCUCAUCAGAUGUUCCUUCAGGAACAGACACUGAGGAGGAGGAUGAUGGCAUGAAUGACAUGAAUCAGGAGGUGAUGUCAUUAAUAUGGAGUGAAGAUUUAAGGGUGCAGGACGUGCGACGGCUCCUUCAAAGUGCACAUCCUGUGCGUGUCAAUGUGGUGCAGUACCCGGAACUCAGUGACCACGAGUUCAUCGAGGAAAAAGAAAACAGAUUGCUCCAGUUGUGUCAGCGAACUAUGGCUCUUCCUGUAGGACGAGGAAUGUUUACCUUGUUUUCAUAUCAUCCUGUUCCAACGGAACCAUUGCCUAUUCCCAAGUUAAAUUUGACUGGGCGAGCCCCUCCUCGGAACACAACAGUAGACCUGAACAGUGGAAACAUCGAUGUGCCUCCCAACAUGACAAGCUGGGCCAGCUUCCACAAUGGCGUGGCUGCCGGCCUGAAGAUAGCCCCUGCCUCCCAGAUCGACUCAGCUUGGAUUGUUUACAAUAAGCCCAAGCACGCUGAGUUAGCCAAUGAGUAUGCUGGCUUUCUCAUGGCCCUGGGUCUGAAUGGGCACCUCACCAAGCUGGCUACUCUCAAUAUCCACGACUACUUGACCAAGGGUCAUGAAAUGACAAGCAUCGGACUGCUGCUUGGUGUUUCUGCGGCUAAACUAGGCACCAUGGAUAUGUCAAUUACACGGCUUCUCAGCAUUCACAUUCCUGCUCUCCUACCCCCGACGUCCACGGAGCUCGACGUGCCUCACAACGUCCAGGUGGCUGCAGUGGUUGGCAUCGGCCUCGUGUAUCAGGGGACAGCUCACAGGCACACUGCAGAAGUCUUGUUGGCCGAAAUAGGCAGGCCCCCUGGUCCUGAGAUGGAAUACUGCACUGACAGAGAGUCUUACUCUUUAGCUGCUGGCUUGGCCCUGGGCAUGGUUUGCUUGGGGCAUGGCAGUAAUCUGAUAGGGAUGUCCGAUCUCAACGUGCCUGAGCAGCUUUAUCAGUACAUGGUUGGAGGCCACAGGCGCUUUCAAGCAGGGAUGCACCGGGAGAAACAUAAAUCUCCAAGUUAUCAAAUCAAAGAAGGAGACACCAUAAAUGUGGACGUAACUUGUCCAGGUGCCACUCUGGCUUUGGCUAUGAUCUACUUGAAAACCAAUAACAGAUCCAUUGCAGAUUGGCUCCGAGCUCCUGACACCAUGUAUUUGCUGGACUUUGUGAAGCCAGAAUUUCUCUUGCUUAGGACACUUGCUCGAUGCCUGAUUUUGUGGGAUGAUAUUUUACCAAAUUCCAAGUGGGUCGAUAGCAACGUUCCUCAAAUUAUAAGAGAAAAUAGUAUCUCUCUCAGUGAAAUUGAAUUGCCUUGCUCAGAGGAUUUGAAUUUGGAAACUUUGUCGCAAGCACAUGUCUACAUAAUUGCAGGAGCUUGUUUGUCUCUGGGUUUUCGAUUUGCUGGCUCAGAAAACUUAUCAGCAUUUAACUGCUUGCAUAAAUUUGCAAAAGAUUUUAUGACUUAUUUGUCUGCGCCUAAUGCUUCUGUGACAGGUCCUUACAACCUGGAGACUUGCCUGAGUGUGGUGCUACUGUCUCUGGCCAUGGUGAUGGCCGGCUCGGGGAACCUAAAGGUUUUGCAGCUCUGUCGCUUCUUGCACAUGAAGACAGGUGGUGAAAUGAACUACGGUUUCCACCUAGCCCAUCACAUGGCCCUUGGACUUCUGUUUUUGGGAGGAGGAAGGUACUCGUUGAGCACAUCAAACUCUUCCAUUGCCGCCCUCCUCUGUGCCCUGUACCCGCACUUCCCAGCUCACAGCACUGACAACCGGUAUCAUCUCCAGGCUCUCCGGCACCUGUACGUGCUGGCUGCAGAACCAAGACUUCUGGUGCCUGUGGAUGUGGACACCAACACGCCCUGCUACGCCCUCUUAGAAGUCACCUAUAAGGGCACUCAGUGGUAUGAACAGACCAAAGAAGAGUUGAUGGCUCCUACCCUUCUUCCAGAACUCCACCUUUUAAAACAGAUUAAAGUUAAAGGCCCACGAUACUGGGAACUGCUCAUGGAUUUAAGCAAGGGGACACAGCACUUGAAGUCAAUUCUGUCCAAGGAUGGGGUUUUAUAUGUCAAGCUCAGAGCGGGUCAGCUCUCCUACAAGGAAGAUCCAAUGGGAUGGCAGAGUUUGUUGGCCCAGACCGUUGCCAACAGGAACUCCGAAGCUCGGGCUUUCAAGCCUGAAACGAUUUCAGCGUUCACUUCUGAUCCAGCACUUCUGUCGUUUGCUGAGUAUUUCUGCAAACCAACUGUGAACAUGGGUCAGAAACAGGAAAUUCUGGAUCUCUUUUCUUCAGUGCUGUAUGAAUGUGUGACUCAGGAGACCCCAGAGAUGUUGCCGGCAUACAUAGCGAUGGAUCAGGCUGUGAGAAGACUGGGAAGAAGAGAAAUGUCCGAGACGUCUGAACUCUGGCAGAUAAAGUUGGUGUUAGAGUUUUUCAGCUCCAGAAGCCACCAGGAGCGGCUGCAGAACCACCCGAAACGAGGGCUCUUUAUGAGCUCGGAGUUCCUCCCUGUUGUGAAGUGCACUGUUGACAACACUCUGGACCAGUGGCUGCAAGCUGGGGGUGACGUGUGUGUGCACGCCUACCUCAACGGGCAGCCCUGUGGGGAAGCGCAGCUGAGCAUGCUGGCCUGUUUCCUCGUCUACCACUCGGUGCCGGCUCCACGGCACCUGCCAUCUAUCGGCCUGGAAGGGAGCACGAGCUUUGCGGAACUCCUCUUCAAAUUUAAACAGCUGAAGAUGCCCGUGCGCGCUUUGCUGAGAUUGGCGCCUUUGCUUCUUGGAAAUCCACAGCCAAUGGUCAUGUGAUCAUGUCUGGUGGUAAGCCUACCCUGAAACAUGGCUUCUGCACAAAAGCGUGACCAAACAACAAAGCUAAAGGAACAUUUGACUUCAGUUCAGAGACAGCUUCCAAGGAGGUGGAAUUGGAGGUCAGGGGAGUGCUCUUCCGGGCAGCUGCAGGAACAAGACUCCACGUGAGCACGGACCUGGCCCCCGGGGAAGUCCCGAGUGCUUCCCUUUCAGCUCACCCCGAAGCCUGGACCCUGCCCCCUAGGACAGGAUGACAAGUAUUCCUCAGCAGUAACUGAUGCUCCGUGCAGGGCCACGGAAGCUGAGGGGUGCCUGAGGACACAUACCUGCCUUGACAUCCACCAGUCUCUUCCUCUUGUGGCCUCUUAUCCUCCUGGUUCUCAGCUUGGGGACAGCCUCUGGAGGCUCAGAACUGGAGGCCGGAGGGCUCCUAUUCCGAGGAGCUGCAGGGAGAGAGGACGGGCCCUGUGUGAUCAUGGGAGGAACCCACCUGGGAAGUACUGGGUUCUUCCCUUCUCAGUCACCUUGAGGACUUUGCACGUGACAUCUGAAGGGAUAAGAGAAGAAUGACCAUCACCCCCUUUGCACUUGUCUAUAAAGGAGGGUAGGAAUUGAGUUAAUAUUUACCUCUCUUUGCCAGGCACAAGCUGCUCUCCUGUGCCCCUUUCCAUGGAUUAAUCUGCCUGGGGGACGCCUCUGUGGAGACAGAUGUGAAAUUCUCUGGUCAUAGAUGUCUUUAAUAACUACAGGUGAACAAGAUAGUGACCUCCGGUCUCGCCCUGGACACCUUUUCCCCUGCCCUGCAGGCACACACUCAGGGGGGUCAAGGGAGGAAGUGAUGCUGGAGCCAUGAUGACCUGUCACCUUCAUUCAUUCAGAAACAUGACGGGUGAAUGGCCACACACACCUGCUUUCCCUGCCAUGCACUCCCUCUUCUGACUCUGUUCCUGUUGGCUUGGAGCCGUCUCUGAGCAGCUGGUGUGGAGCUCGGAGGAAUCCUGUCUUCUCUGGGUACAAAAAAAGGGGAAGGAAACCAACUUGAUUCUCACCAGGCCAUUUCUUUUUGCUUCAUCUGCUUCUUGUGAAACCCAGUAAGAAUUAAAAUGGCAAUAAUGGUA